rnacentral:rRNA from 1 species
AAAUCGACGCAGGGUUAGUCGGUCCCUAAGGCGAGGCUGAAAAGCGUAGUCGAUGGAAAACAGGUUAAUAUUCCUGUACUUCUGGUUAUUGCGAUGGAGGGACGGAGAAGGCUAGGCCAGCUUGGCGUUGGUUGUCCAAGUUUAAGGUGGUAGGCUGGAAUCUUAGGUAAAUCCGGGAUUCUAAGGCCGAGAGCUGAUGACGAGUUAUCUUUUAGAUGACGAAGUGGUUGAUGCCAUGCUUCCAAGAAAAGCUUCUAAGCUUCAGGUAACCAGGAACCGUACCCCAAACCGACACAGGUGGUUGGGUAGAGAAUACCAAGGCGCUUGAGAGAACUCGGGUGAAGGAACUAGGCAAAAUGGCACCGUAACUUCGGGAGAAGGUGCGCCGGUGAGGGUGAAGCAUUUACUGCGUAAGCCCAUGCCGGUCGAAGAUACCAGGCCGCUGCGACUGUUUAUUAAAAACACAGCACUCUGCAAACACGAAAGUGGACGUAUAGGGUGUGACGCCUGCCCGGUGCCGGAAGGUUAAUUGAUGGGGUUAGCUAACGCGAAGCUCUUGAUCGAAGCCCCGGUAAACGGCGGCCGUAACUAUAACGGUCCUAAGGUAGCGAAAUUCCUUGUCGGGUAAGUUCCGACCUGCACGAAUGGCGUAACGAUGGCGGCGCUGUCUCCACCCGAGACUCAGUGAAAUUGAAAUCGCUGUGAAGAUGCAGUGUAUCCGCGGCUAGACGGAAAGACCCCGUGAACCUUUACUAUAGCUUUGCACUGGACUUUGAAUUUGCUUGUGUAGGAUAGGUGGGAGGCUUUGAAGCGUGGACGCCAGUUCGCGUGGAGCCAACCUUGAAAUACCACCCUGGUAACUUUGAGGUUCUAACUCAGGUCCGUUAUCCGGAUCGAGGACAGUGUAUGGUGGGUAGUUUGACUGGGGCGGUCUCCUCCUAAAGAGUAACGGAGGAGUACGAAGGUGCGCUCAGACCGGUCGGAAAUCGGUCGUAGAGUAUAAAGGCAAAAGCGCGCUUGACUGCGAGACAGACACGUCGAGCAGGUACGAAAGUAGGUCUUAGUGAUCCGGUGGUUCUGUAUGGAAGGGCCAUCGCUCAACGGAUAAAAGGUACUCCGGGGAUAACAGGCUGAUACCGCCCAAGAGUUCAUAUCGACGGCGGUGUUUGGCACCUCGAUGUCGGCUCAUCACAUCCUGGGGCUGAAGCCGGUCCCAAGGGUAUGGCUGUUCGCCAUUUAAAGUGGUACGCGAGCUGGGUUUAGAACGUCGUGAGACAGUUCGGUCCCUAUCUGCCGUGGACGUUUGAGAUUUGAGAGGGGCUGCUCCUAGUACGAGAGGACCGGAGUGGACGAACCUCUGGUGUUCCGGUUGUCACGCCAGUGGCAUUGCCGGGUAGCUAUGUUCGGAAUAGAUAACCGCUGAAAGCAUCUAAGCGGGAAACUAGCCUCAAGAUGAGAUCUCACUGGGACCUUGAGUCCCCUGAAGGGCCGUCGAAGACUACGACGUUGAUAGGUUGGGUGUGUAAGCGCUGUGAGGCGUUGAGCUAACCAAUACUAAUUGCCCGUGAGGCUUGAUCG